rnacentral:rRNA from 1 species
GUUUGAUCCUGGCUCAGGAUGAACGCUAGCUGGCAGGCCUAACACAUGCAAGUCGAACGGUAAGGCUCAGCUUGCUGAGUACACGAGUGGCGCACGGGUGAGUAACGCGUAUGUAACCUACCCUUGACAGGGGGAUAGCCUGGAGAAAUUCGGAUUAAUACCCCAUAA